rnacentral:rRNA from 1 species
UACGUAGGGGGCUAGCGUUGUCCGGAAUCAUUGGGCGUAAAGAGCGUGUAGGCGGUCCGGUAAGUCCGCUGUGAAAGUCGGGGGCUCAACCCUGGGAUGCCGGUGGAUACUGCUGGGCUAGAGUACGGAAGAGGCGAGUGGAAUUCCCGGUGUAGCGGUGAAAUGCGCAGAUAUCGGGAGGAACACCUAUUGCGAAGGCAGCUCGCUGGGACGUUACUGACGCUGAGACGCGAAAGCGUGGGGAGCAAACAGG